UUUGAGAUGGACGAGGAGGGCGAGGGAAUUGUCGAGGCGCCGAAAGGAAGAGCGGGCAAUUACUCAACCAACGAUGACAAGUUACUAUGCCAUACUUAUUUGCAAGUGUCGAGAGAUCCAUCCAUUGGAGGUGAUCAAAGUAGAGACGCGUAUUGGGGGCGAAUGAAAGAACACUUUGAUGCUCAUAACUUGAGUGGAAUUGACCGCUCCGAGAGAUCACUUCGGUCCCGAUGGUCGACAAUCAACUCGGAUUGUCAAAAGUGGGCGGCCGUACAAAAGGCAGUUGACAAGAUUAACCCAAGUGGCACAAAUGAGGAUGAUCGAGUAAGUGGCAUCUCAUAUAUGUUCAUCAUACUUGUUUUUGGUGACCGAAGUGCUAACUUGUUUUGUUUUUCUUGUAGUACAACAUUGCACAAAACUUGUUCAAAGAAGAGACAAGGACAACCAAGAAGGGGAAGAUCAAGAAAGGCAGGAAGCGUG
rnacentral:rRNA from 1 species